CUGUCAUCUUUGGUUGACAGCAGAUUUGUGAAACUGAUGAGGAAACUUUGAAAGAAAAAAGGCAUUACAAACAGCAAGAAUAAUGGAAGUAACGAAAAUGGCAAUAAACACAGCACGGUGAAAGCCGACGGUACCUGCAGUUCGAUACCCCUACCGGUUGUACUCAUCGAUCAGGGCGUGCAUGUCUCGAGUCACGGACACGCGGGCAAUUCGCCCUCCAUCGA